UGGAAAUGUAAUUUUAAAUAUUAAAUUAUUAAUAGUUAUGUCCUUUAAAAUUAAAAAAUUUGGCGGUAUUUUAGUCUAUUUAGAGGAACUUGUCCUAUAAUUGAUAAUCCACGAUUUUAACUAUUUACAUUAAAAGUUUAUAUAUCGUCGUAGUUGAAUAUUUUUUUAGAAUUUAAUAUUCAAGAUUUAUAAUUAUAAAAUAAAUCAGAUCAAGAUAUAGCUUAUAUGUAAAAAGAGAUGAGUUACAAUAAAUAUAUUUUUUGGAUUAAAAUUUGUAAAAUUUUAUAAAAUUGGAUUUAAAAGUAAUUUUAUUUAAUUAAAUAAAAUGAUUUUAGCUCUAGAAUAUGU
rnacentral:rRNA from 1 species